UACGGGGGGGGUAAGCGUUGUUCGGAAUUACUGGGCGUAAAGGGCUCGUAGGCGGCCAACUAAGUCAGACGUGAAGUUCCUCAGCUUAACUGGGGAACUGCGUCUGAUACUGGAUGGCUUGGAUUCGGGAGAGGAAUGCGGAAUUCCAGGUGUAGCGGUGAAAUGCGUAGAUAUCUGGAGGAACACCGGUGGCGAAGGCGGCAUUCUGGACCGAUAUUGACGCUGAGGAGCGAAAGCCAGGGGAGCAAACGGG
rnacentral:rRNA from 1 species